GAAGAAAUAAAGGGCGAACGGCGGAUGCCUUGGCUUCUAUAGGCGAUGAAAGACGCGGUAAGCUGCGAAAAUGGCCGGGGAUCGGCAAACACGACAUGAUCCGG
rnacentral:rRNA from 1 species